rnacentral:rRNA from 1 species
UGUAAGAAUUUAUGGUCGAACAGACCAAAUUUUUAAGCUGCUACACCUAAAAAUAAUCUUAAUCCAACAUCGAGGUCGCAAUCUUUUUUAUCGAUAAGUUCUCUUUAAAAAUAUUACGCUGUUAUCCCUUAAGUAACUUAUUCUUUUGAUCAUUAAUAAUGGAUCAACUCAUUAAUUUAUGAAAAAAAGUUUCUUAAAUUUUCCUAUCACCCCAAUAAAAUAUUAUAUAAAGCUUUAAAGGGUCUUCUCGUCCUUUAAUAACAUUUAAGCUUUUUAACUUAAAAAUUAAAUUCUACUACAAUUAAAAUAAGACAGUUAAUAUUUCAUUCAAUCAUUCAUUCCAGCUUCUAAUUAAGAAACUAUUGAUUAUGCUACCUUUGCACAGUCAUAAUACCGCGGCCUUUU